CCCGCAAGUCCUCAAGGUCAAAGGCACUCGCCACUACCUUUAUCAGAAUCUCCCCACCAUUCUGCCCAGAAUGCUUUUCUUUCACCUUCCCAUCCUCUUUCCUGUAAGGAAUAAGGACAGGGUGACUUUCCAUCUCUAUCCUGGCUUAUCACAUUUCUCCUUUGUGAACACAUCAAUGUCACACACCAACAUACUGUCUUGUGCACUUAGGACCCGUGCCUUUGGUUGUGGGCGUCACUAUUUUGUGAGCUUGUGAGUCUUUUGGCCAUGGCUGCAAUAUCAUGGUGCCCCUUUUGUAUUGGGGCCUGGAGUGACACUGAUUGAGAAAUGCAUGGCUGACCAUGUCAAACAGAUUUAGGAGAUGCUGGGAUGGCAGCCUCACCUGGCACUAGCAAACACCCCUCCGUGAAGUCUUCCCUGAACUCCUGACUUCCUUCCCCCAGAGUCUGAGCUCUUUGGAGACGGCACAAACCACCAAGGCUUCUGGGUGAUUCUGCCCCCGAGCUAGACCGCAAACUCCUUGAGGCUGGAAAAUCUACUUAUCUCUAUCCCCAGCCUCUAUCAACCUAAGCACACUGUGGGAAAUGAAGGGAUGUUUGUGAAAUGUUUACAUGUAAUUCACUGAACUGAGCUGGACUGAACUGCGUCCUCCCCCACCCCCCCAAUUCCUCUGUUGAAACCUUAACCCUCAAUGUGGCUGAGUUUGGAUAAGGUUAAAUGAGGACAUAAGGGUGGGGCUCUAAUGCAAUAUGACCAUAAUAGGGCCUUCAUCUAAUAGGGCUGGUGAACUUAUAAGAAGAGAAAGAGACCAGGUGAAGCGCAUGCACACAGAAUAGGCCAUGCGAGGACACAGUGAGCAGGCGGCCAUCUGCAAGCCAAGAAGAGAUGACCAGGGGAGAUCAAACCUGCUGCCCCCUUGAUCUUGGACUUCUAGUCUCCAGAACUUCUUUAAAAUAUCUUAAUAUUUAGCUGUUUACAAUAGUCCUGCGUGGGGAGCAAAAGAGAAAUGAAGCACCUUGAUUACUUGAAUGAAAGAAGACAAUGGUACCAUUUUCUCAGGGUGCAACACCAGAUUUUCAUGAAAAUGGUUCCUAGAGAUGAUCGGAGACAGACCCGCUGACGUGUGAGCCAGAAAGGAAAAUCCAGGCUACGGGACUGAUGUUUUCUCAGGUUCCACGCCCCGCUGGAGACACUGGGGAAGUUGGGGUUAACUAUAGAUGGGGUAAAUUUGGAUUCCCAAGAGACAGUGACAGUCAAAAUUGACCAAAGCCUUCUUUUAUAAUUGCA